AACGAACGCUGGCGGCAUGCCUAACACAUGCAAGUCGAACGAGACCUUCGGGUCUAGUGGCGCACGGGUGCGUAACGCGUGGGAACCUGCCCUUAGGUUCGGAAUAACUCCCCGAAAGGGGUGCUAAUACCGGAUAAUGUCUUCGGACCAAGGAUUUAUCGCCUUUGGAUGGGCCCGCGUUGGAUUAGCUAGUUGGUAGGGUAAAAGCCUACCAAGGCGACGAUCCAUAGCUGGUCUGAGAGGAUGAUCAGCCACACUGGGACUGAGACACGGCCCAGACUCCUACGGGAGGCAGCAGUGGGGAAUAUUGGACAAGGGGCGAAAGCCUGAUCCAGCAAUGCCGCGUGAGUGAUGAAGGCCUUAGGGUUGUAAAGCUCUUUUACCCGGGAUGAUAAUGACAGUACCGGGAGAAUAAGCUCCGGCUAACUCCGUG
rnacentral:rRNA from 1 species